rnacentral:rRNA from 1 species
GACGAACGCUGGCGGCGUGCUUAACACAUGCAAGUCGAACGGAAAGGCCCUGCUUUUGUGGGGUGCUCGAGUGGCGAACGGGUGAGUAACACGUGAGUAACCUGCCCUUGACUUUGGGAUAACUUCAGGAAACUGGGGCUAAUACCGGAUAGGAGCUCCUGCUGCAUGGUGGGGGUUGGAAAGUUUCGGCGGUUGGGGAUGGACUCGCGGCUUAUCAGCUUGUUGGUGGGGUAGUGGCUUACCAAGGCUUUGACGGGUAGCCGGCCUGAGAGGGUGACCGGCCACAUUGGGACUGAGAUACGGCCCAGACUCCUACGGGAGGCAGCAGUGGGGAAUAUUGCACAAUGGGCGGAAGCCUGAUGCAGCAACGCCGCGUGCGUGAUGACGGCCUUCGGGUUGUAAACCGCUUUCGCCUGUGACGAAGCGUUAGUGACGGUAAUGGGUAAAGAAGCACCGGCUAACUACGUG